rnacentral:rRNA from 1 species
GGAGAUUACACUUCUAGAAUUAGUUAGAGGGCACUGGAAUUCAAUGUGUAGUGGUGGAAUACGUAGAUAUAUUGAGGAACACCGGAGGCUAAGGCGAGUGCCUGGGACAUAAUUGACGCUGAGGCUUGAAAGCGUGGGUAGCAAAUGGGAUUAGAUACCCCAGUAGUCCACGCCGUAAACGAUGGGUAUUAGUCAUUUGAAUUUAAGUUGAGUGAUGUAGCUAACGCGUUAAAUACCCCGCCUGGGUAGUAUAUAUGCAAAUAUGAAACUCAAAGAAAUUGACGGGGACCUGAACAAGUGGUGGAGCAUGUUGCUUAAUUCGUUAAUACACGCAAAACCUUACCAAGGCUUGCAAUCUUCUGCAAAGCUAUAGAAAUAUAGUGGAGGCUAUCAGAAUGACAGGUGGUGCAUGGCUGUCGUCAGCUCGUGUCUUGAGAUGUUUGGUUAAGUCCCGUAACGAGCGCAACCCUUCAUAUUAGUUGUUUAGUUCUAAUAUGACUGAAUCGUAAGAUCUAGGAAGGAUGGGGCCAAGUCAAGUCAUCAUGCCCCUUAUGCCUUGGGCUGCAAACGUGCUACAAUGGUAGAUACAAUGUGUUACAACCUAGCGAUAGUGAGUUAAUCACCUAAAGUCUAUCUCAGUCCGGAUAAAAGGCUGCAAUUCGCCUAUUUGAAGAUGGAAUCACUAGUAAUCCUGUGUCAGCUAUAUCAGGGUGAAUACGUUCCCAGGUCUUGUACACACCGCCCGUCAAACUACGAAAGAAAGUACUAAUUAAAACCGUAUUUAAUUACGUCUAGAUU